rnacentral:rRNA from 1 species
UAGAGUUUUGGUCCUAAACUUAAUGCUAU